UCGCAAGAGAACCGGAACACGAGGUGCUGCAUGGCUGUCGUCAGCUCGUGUCGUGAGAUGUUGGGUUAAGUCCCGCAACGAGCGCAACCCUUGUCAUUAGUUGCCAUCAUUUGGUUGGGCACUCUAAUGAGACUGCCGGUGACAAACCCGGAGGAAAGGUGGGGAUGACGUCAAGUCCUCAUGGCCCUUAUGGGUAGGGCUUCACACGUCAUACAAUGGUCGGUACAGAGGGUUGCCAACCCGCGAGGGGGAGCUAAUCCCACAAAGCCGAUCGUAGUCCGGAUCGCAGUCUGCAACUCGACUGCGUGAAGUCGGAAUCGCUAGUAAUCGUGGAUCAGCAUGUCACGGUGAAUACGUUCCCGGGUCUU
rnacentral:rRNA from 1 species